CCCAGAGAUGGUCCUACUCA
rnacentral:misc_RNA from 1 species